UACGAAGGGUGCAAGCGUUAAUCUGAAUUACUGGGCGUAAAGCGUGCGUAGGCGGUUUCUUAAGUCUGCUGUGAAAGCCCCGGGCUCAACCUGGGAAUGGCGGUGGAUACUGAGAAGCUGGAGUACGGUAGAGGAAGGUGGAAUUCCCGGUGUAGCGGUGAAAUGCGUAGAGAUCGGGAGGAACAUCAGUGGCGAAGGCGGCCUUCUGGACCAGUACUGACGCUGAGGCACGAAAGCGUGGGGAGCAAACAGG
rnacentral:rRNA from 1 species